AUGGAAGUGAUGACACUUUCCCCAAAUGAUCGACGCUGAUUAUACUAUGCUGGUGUGUUUUAUCACACUCCUGUCUGAUCCGU